UGUAACACUCACCGUGAGGGUCUGCGGCUUCAUUGUUGAAGUCAGCAAGUUGGAGAACCCACCAAUUCCGGUCACACUACCAGUGUGGUAGCCUAAGUUUGAUUCGUUGUCAAUGGACAAUCCUCCACCUCUGAGAAGCUUUCUAUGAUUACUUCAGAUGAAGGACUCAGCAAGAACUAGGCACUCUGCAACCCAGAAGAGAGUUCUCGCCAGAAACCAAUCAUGCUGGCACUUGGAUCUAGGACUUCAAGCUUCCAGAAAUUUGUGGAAUAAGUUUCUGCUGUUUAUAAGCCACCAAGUCUAUGAUAAUGUGUCAGAGGACUGAGCUAAGACAUAAAGUGAGCUAGAGUUAAGAUUUAAGAUCUAUUUGUUACAAUAAAAUUCAAAAUAGUCGUAUAAAUGUUUAAAUGCAACAUCUCAAAAAUCGUAACAUGUUCUUACAUUUAGAGAAUUAGUACAGAAAUAUUAAGUCAACAAAAUUUCUAACAUUAAAUUGAUGUCUACUUGUUAUGUUGAUUUGCAAACAUUUUUUUCCACAUGGAUAUAUUUCCUUUUGUCUACCCAACUAAUUGUUAUUGCAUUACAGGAAAUCUUUUAUUUAUUUUGUAUUUCUCUGUAAACACCUCCCUACCUUGUCUAGUAUAGUGUCAAUUAUUUCAUGCUUUUAUUAAUGUAAUGGCAAAGUCAUUUUAAUGGCCAGAAUAUAAAGAAUUAUAAAUAACACCUCCAUAGAAUUAAGAUUUGAUUGUUGCAAUGGCAAUAUGGAUGACUUUUAGAAAAAUGUGUUGUAUAUGCCAUCAGACAUUAAAAAAAGUUAGCUAAGCUGCAAAUCAAUUUUUACAUGCAAAUAUAACAUAUUAAUAACAGCAGUAGAUGAAAAAAGGAUUGGCUUGAAUCGCUAAGUCAUUUCACACAUUGAUACCAGAGUAAAAUACUUCAAAAUUGUUCUUACUGAACAUUCUUCUUUUCCUCCC
rnacentral:lncRNA from 1 species